CCAAAAUGUAGCUUAACCAAAGCCCUCCGCUUACACCGGAGAUAUAUCUGUUCAAACCAGGUCAUUUUGA
rnacentral:tRNA from 1 species